rnacentral:rRNA from 1 species
AGAGUUUGAUCAUGGCUCAGAUUGAACGCUGGCGGCAGGCCUAACACAUGCAAGUCGAACGGUAACAGAAAGCAGCUUGCUGCUUUGCUGACGAGUGGCGGACGGGUGAGUAAUGUCUGGGAAACUGCCCGAUGGAGGGGGAUAACUACUGGAAACGGUAGCUAAUACCGCAUAACGUCGCAAGACCAAAGAGGGGGACCUUAGGGCCUCUUGCCAUCGGAUGUGCCCAGAUGGGAUUAGCUAGUAGGUGGGGUAACGGCUCACCUAGGCGACGAUCCCUAGCUGGUCUGAGAGGAUGACCAGCCACACUGGAACUGAGACACGGUCCAGACUCCUACGGGAGGCAGCAGUGGGGAAUAUUGCACAAUGGGCGCAAGCCUGAUGCAGCCAUGCCGCGUGUAUGAAGAAGGCCUUCGGGUUGUAAAGUACUUUCAGCGGGGAGGAAGGGAGUAAAGUUAAUACCUUUGCUCAUUGACGUUACCCGCAGAAGAAGCACCGGCUAACUCCGUGCCAGCAGCCGCGGUAAUACGGAGGGUGCAAGCGUUAAUCGGAAUUACUGGGCGUAAAGCGCACGCAGGCGGUUUGUUAAGUCAGAUGUGAAAUCCCCGGGCUCAACCUGGGAACUGCAUCUGAUACUGGCAAGCUUGAGUCUCGUAGAGGGGGGUAGAAUUCCAGGUGUAGCGGUGAAAUGCGUAGAGAUCUGGAGGAAUACCGGUGGCGAAGGCGGCCCCCUGGACGAAGACUGACGCUCAGGUGCGAAAGCGUGGGGAGCAAACAGGAUUAGAUACCCUGGUAGUCCACGCCGUAAACGAUGUCGACUUGGAGGUUGUGCCCUUGAGGCGUGGCUUCCGGAGCUAACGCGUUAAGUCGACCGCCUGGGGAGUACGGCCGCAAGGUUAAAACUCAAAUGAAUUGACGGGGGCCCGCACAAGCGGUGGAGCAUGUGGUUUAAUUCGAUGCAACGCGAAGAACCUUACCUGGUCUUGACAUCCACGGAAGUUUUCAGAGAUGAGAAUGUGCCUUCGGGAACCGUGAGACAGGUGCUGCAUGGCUGUCGUCAGCUCGUGUUGUGAAAUGUUGGGUUAAGUCCCGCAACGAGCGCAACCCUUAUCCUUUGUUGCCAGCGGUCCGGCCGGGAACUCAAAGGAGACUGCCAGUGAUAAACUGGAGGAAGGUGGGGAUGACGUCAAGUCAUCAUGGCCCUUACGACCAGGGCUACACACGUGCUACAAUGGCGCAUACAAAGAGAAGCGACCUCGCGAGAGCAAGCGGACCUCAUAAAGUGCGUCGUAGUCCGGAUUGGAGUCUGCAACUCGACUCCAUGAAGUCGGAAUCGCUAGUAAUCGUGGAUCAGAAUGCCACGGUGAAUACGUUCCCGGGCCUUGUACACACCGCCCGUCACACCAUGGGAGUGGGUUGCAAAAGAAGUAGGUAGCUUAACCUUCGGGAGGGCGUUUACCACUUUGUGAUUCAUGACUGGGGUGAAGUCGUAACAAGGUAACCGUAGGGGAACCUGCGGUUGGAUCACCU